GGGCAUGCAAAUUCGAAAUGAAAGCCCGGAAACCCCGGAACUAGAACUGGUAUGGAGUCUCACUCUGUCGCCCAGGCUGGAGUGUAGUAGCGCAAUCUUGGCUCACUGCAACCUCGGACUCCCAGGUUCAAGAGAUUCUCCUGCAUCAGCCUCCCAAGUAGCUGGGACUACAGAUCUCUUCAACUACCUGUGAAAACUGAUGUGAUGAAAAGGGGAAUUUGAAGGAGCCAUUCCAGAAGACAGGGCGAAAACUGAAGUGCAAUCAGGGCCAAGAAAAACAGAAAUAGCAGGACCUGGAGUUGCAUAGGUUGAAUAGUUGAAUAGGCUGCUCUCCUCAGCUGGCAGGAAACCUGGCAGCCUCCUGGUGCCCAAGGACUGAAAACCUUAGAAGCACCUGGAGUUGGCAGCCUUGGCAUGGUCAGGUUGGCACCUCUGGAGGUGCCCAGGCUUCCCUGGCAGCAUUGUGAGCAGUGGAUGGUGUUGAAGGGCAGCCAGAGGAGGAAUGGAACACAUGCUCCUUGCUAACCACACGGACAAGGCCACGUUCACAGGUACACAAAGGCAACGCAGUUGCUCAGGUGCUUCGGUAUCACAGCCAAGACCCCUUCGGGGGAAGCUAGUCGGAUACUGGGACCCACAUUCCAGACUACUGAGCCGCGGUCGCGCCCUCGGCUCCGUUUCUGCUCCCUCCACCCCACGAGGACGGGGGUGGAAGGCCACCUUCGAUGGGUGCAUCCUCCACGAUGACCUGCUAACAAAGGUGCAUGGAUUUCAGAGUCUGAUUGGCCUACAACAGCAUUUGGCUUGUGGAGACAGUGGUUCCCUGAUGAAAAACUGCCAUGAUGUAAGGAAGAGCCUGUCAGAGCGAGGCUGGGGUGCUGCGUGUUGGGGAGGUGGAGGUGUGGCUUCCCGGGAGAAGCUCCACCCGCUGGCUGAGUCUGGCACAUAAACCAGUCUGUGAGGGGAUGGAUGUGGGUGUAAUGGGGGCAAUUACAGUAGGAAGGAGCCCACGUGGAGCCUGCAUUCUCUGGGACAGGGCAUUACUGCAUUCUCUGGGACAGGCUAAGGCCCAGAUCCUACCUUCCCAGGUGGCUGGAUGGGUCAUAGAUGUAUGAACCGGUCCCCUCAUUUUCUGAUUGCCCUGUGCUUAACGUUUCUGUACCUUUACUGAGGCUCUUUCCUCCAACUCCAGUGCCCAGACCCCCCUUCUCCUGAACAUGAAUGCCUGUCCAUGGAAAUUCGAGUCUCUCUCUCUCACCCAGGCUGGAGUGCAGUGAUGCAAUCUCAACUCACUGCAACCUCUGCCUCCCAGGUUCAAGUGAUUCUUGUGCCUCAGCCUCUGGAGUAUCUAGGAUCACAGGUGCGUGCCACCAUGUCUGGCUAAUGUUUUGUAUUUAUAGUAGAGAUGGGUUUCGACAUAUUGGCCAGGCUGGUCUUGAUCUCCUGGCCUCAAAGUGAUCUACCCACCUGGGCCUCCCAAAUUGCUGGGAUUACAGUUGUGAGCCACCACACCCAGCCUGUCCCUGAAAUUCUAAUGAAAUGUGCGAUAAAGUUGUUUUGUUUUUCUUUUUGUUUUCCCUUCUUGGCAAAGCCUGGUGUUUCUAUUUUAGUGGAUUUGCCUGGCACUGAGGACUGCUAUGGUGGUCUUCAGAGGCUCCUGGUAUUGACUGCUUGUGAAACCGCUUUUGCAAAAUUAUGACUGAGACAGUGAAAGAGAUCUAACUUAACCGACCCAAUCUUGCUUCUAACCUCCAAAUUGUCCUUAUUCAUUCCUGAGCAUAGCCUGAACUAACUUUGGGAGAAGCUUAGUUUAUAUUUUAUUUUAUAGUUUAAAACAAAGAUGUUAACAGCCCUUUCCCAAGGCAGACUUCCUUCUUGCCUGGGGACUAGGUUGCCUUUGGAGGACUAACAUUAGCCACGAGAUUAGAAAUUAUGGGCUGGGCCUCGUGGCUCACCCCUGUAAUCCCAGCACUUUGGGAGGCCACGGCAGGUAGAUCACCUGAGGUCAGGAGUUCAAGACCAGCCUGGCCAACGUGGUGAAACCCCAUCUCUACUAAAGAAUACAAAAAUUAGCCGGUUAUGGUGGCACAUGCCUAUACUGCCAGCUACUUGGGAAGCUGAGGUGGGAGGAUCGCUUGAACCUGGGAGGCGGCGUGGAGGUUGCAGUGAGCCAGGAUCUUGCCACUGCACUCCAGCUUGGGCGACAGAGUGAGACUCUGUCUCAAAAAAAAAAAGUUUAGAAAUUAUGCUUUAGGAGUCAUGCAGCUGGAGGCUACAAGAUUCUGACCCUCCCUAAACUGCUCCUAAGAUCAGUGCUUGAGAUAUUUUGCAGACCCUGCACUUGAUGGAUCAGCUGGCACCACCCAGACUGAUUAACUGGCUCAUGUGAUCUUGUGGUCCCCACCCAGGAACUUAAUCAGCACAAGGAGACAGCUUCAACUCCCUAUGAUUUCAUCCCUGACCAAUCAGCACUCCUGGGCUCACUGGCUUCCCCCUACCCACCAAGUUGUCCUUAAAAAGUCUGCUCCCCAAAUGCUCGGGUAGACUGAUUUGGGUAAUAAUAAAACUCCGGUCUC
ensembl:lncRNA LINC00910 long intergenic non-protein coding RNA 910